rnacentral:rRNA from 1 species
GUAGUCAUAUGCUUGUCUCAAAGAUUAAGCCAUGCAUGUCUAAGUAUAAGCAACUUGUACUGUGAAACUGCGAAUGGCUCAUUAAAUCAGUUAUCGUUUAUUUGAUAGUACCUUACUACAUGGAUACCUGUGGUAAUUCUAGAGCUAAUACAUGCUAAAAACCCCGACUUCAGGAAGGGGUGUAUUUAUUAGAUAAAAAACCAACGCCCUUCGGGGCUCCUUGGUGAAUCAUAAUAACUUAACGAAUCGCAUGGCCUUGCGCCGGCGAUGGUUCAUUCAAAUUUCUGCCCUAUCAACUUUCGAUGGUAGGAUAGUGGCCUACCAUGGUGGCAACGGGUAACGGGGAAUUAGGGUUCGAUUCCGGAGAGGGAGCCUGAGAAACGGCUACCACAUCCAAGGAAGGCAGCAGGCGCGCAAAUUACCCAAUCCCGAUACGGGGAGGUAGUGACAAUAAAUACUGAUACGGGGCUCUUUUGGGUCUCGUAAUUGGAGUGAGAACAAUUUAAAUCCCUUAACGAGG